GGAUUAGAUACCCUGGUAGUCCACGCCGUAAACGAUGUCUACUAGCCGUUGGGGUCCUUGAGACUUUAGUGGCGCAGCUAACGCACUAAGUAGACCGCCUGGGGAGUACGGUCGCAAGAUUAAAACUCAAAUGAAUUGACGGGGGCCCGCACAAGCGGUGGAGCAUGUGGUUUAAUUCGAAGCAACGCGAAGAACCUUACCUACUCUUGACAUCCAGUGAACUUUUCAGAGAUGAAUUGGUGCCUUCGGGAACACUGAGACAGGUGCUGCAUGGCUGUCGUCAGCUCGUGCCG
rnacentral:rRNA from 1 species